GCUCAACCGAAGAAGUGCAUCGGAAACUGGGAAACUUGAGUGCAGAAGAGGACAGUGGAACUCCAUGUGUAGCGGUGAAAUGCGUAGAUAUAUGGAAGAACACCAGUGGCGAAGGCGGCUGUCUGGUCUGUAACUGACGCUGAGGCUCGAAAGUAUGGGUAGCAAACAGGAUUAGAUACCCUGGUAGUCCAUACCGUAAACGAUGAAUGCUAAGUGUUGGAGGGUUUCCGCCCUUCAGUGCUGCAGCUAACGCAUUAAGCAUUCCGCCUGGGGAGUACGGCCGCAAGGCUGAAACUCAAAGGAAUUGACGGGGGCCCGCACAAGCGGUGGAGCAUGUGGUUUAAUUCGAAGCUACGCGAAGAACCUUACCAGGUCUUGACAUACUAUGCAAAUCUAAGAGAUUAGACGUUCCCUUCGGGGACAUGGAUACAGGUGGUGCAUGGUUGUCGUCAGCUCGUGUCGUGAGAUGUUGGGUUAAGUCCCGCAACGAGCACAACCCUUAUUAUCAGUUGCCAGCAUUAAGUUGGGCACUCUGGUGAGACUGCCGGUGACAAACCGGAGGAAGGUGGGGAUGACGUCAAAUCAUCAUGCCCCUUAUGACCUGGGCUACACACGUGCUACAAUGGAUGGUACAACG
rnacentral:rRNA from 1 species